rnacentral:rRNA from 1 species
GUCGAACGGUGAAGCUCCAGCUUGCUGGAGUGGAUCAGUGGCGAACGGGUGAGUAACACGUGAGCAACCUGCCCCAAACUCUGGAAUAAGCGCUGGAAACGGCGUCUAAUACUGGAUACGAGACCAACCUGCAUGGGUAUGGUUUGGAAAGUUUUUCGGUUUGGGAUGGGCUCGCGGCCUAUCAGCUUGUUGGUGAGGUAAUGGCUCACCAAGGCGACGACGGGUAGCCGGCCUGAGAGGGCGACCGGCCACACUGGGACUGAGACACGGCCCAGACUCCUACGGGAGGCAGCAGUGGGGAAUAUUGCACAAUGGGCGAAAGCCUGAUGCAGCGACGCCGCGUGAGGGAUGACGGCCUUCGGGUUGUAAACCUCUUUCAGCAGGGAAGAAGCGAAAGUGACGGUACCUGCAGAAGAAGCACCGGCUAACUACGUGCCAGCAGCCGCGGUAAUACGUAGGGUGCGAGCGUUGUCCGGAAUUAUUGGGCGUAAAGAGCUUGUAGGCGGUUUGUCGCGUCUGCUGUGAAAAUCCGGGGCUCAACCCCGGACUUGCAGUGGGUACGGGCAGACUAGAGUGUGGUAGGGGAGACUGGAAUUCCUGGUGUAGCGGUGAAAUGCGCAGAUAUCAGGAGGAAC